UGCACGGUGGCGCAGUUGGUAACACUGUUGCCUUGCGUUGUAAGGUCCUGGGUUCGAUUCCCGGCCGGGGGUCUUUCUGCAU